rnacentral:piRNA from 1 species
GAAUCUUUUGGGAAUACCAUCAAGUCAGGUU